AACGAACGCUGGCGGCAUGCCUAACACAUGCAAGUCGAACGAAGUCUUCGGACUUAGUGGCGCACGGGUGCGUAACGCGUGGGAAUCUGCCCUUGGGUACGGAAUAACUCAGAGAAAUUUGUGCUAAUACCGUAUAAUGACUUCGGUCCAAAGAUUUAUCGCCCAAGGAUGAGCCCGCGUAAGAUUAGCUAGUUGGUGGGGUAAAAGCCUACCAAGGCGACGAUCUUUAGCUGGUCUGAGAGGAUGAUCAGCCACACUGGGACUGAGACACGGCCCAGACUCCUACGGGAGGCAGCAGUGGGGAAUAUUGGACAAUGGGCGAAAGCCUGAUCCAGCAAUGCCGCGUGAGUGAUGAAGGCCUUAGGGUUGUAAAGCUCUUUUACCAGGGAUGAUAAUGACAGUACCUGGAGAAUAAGCUCCGGCUAACUCCGUGCCAG
rnacentral:rRNA from 1 species